AGUUAAUAAGUUUAUAAACAUAUAUUUUGAAAAUAUAAAAAAAAGAAUAAAAUCUUUAUUAACUU
rnacentral:tRNA from 1 species